AAGAAUUAAAUGAAUGAAAUAUGAAAUUUUAUUAAAAAAAAGGGGGUGAAAAGAACAAAGCUUUGUCCAUCUUUGUUCAUCAUAGCCUAAAGUUAGAGAAGAGAAAGGAGAGGAGAAAGCUCUUGAAUGUUCGGUCACUUGGGGAAGAAAAAUUGAAGGUAAUCCCCAACCAUAAUGAGCUUGGAGCUGUGAGGGAAUUCGGAGUGGCCACCCGUUCUGAAAGUUUGAUUUUCUUCUGGUGAACUGAACAUCCUUUUAUUUACGUUUGAAGUUUUGGGUUUUUAAAUGUAAUAAGGCCGCUUAAUUAUUUUUGAUGGUUUUAAUAUGUAUUACUAAGAUAA